UACGUAGGUGACAAGCGUUGUCCGGAUUUACUGGGCGUAAAGAGCGCGCAGGCGGUCGUUCAAGUCGCGUGUGAAAGCCCCCGGCUCAACUGGGGAGGGUCACGCGAUACUGAUCGACUCGAAGGCAGGAGAGGGUAGUGGAAUUCCCGGUGUAGUGGUGAAAUGCGUAGAUAUCGGGAGGAACACCAGUGGCGAAGGCGGGUCUCUGGACAGUUCCUGACGCUGAGGCACGAAGGCCAGGGGAGCAAACGGGG
rnacentral:rRNA from 1 species